CCUCCUACAUGCAGGAAAGCCAUUAAACAAAAUCUUUGACAGUAGACCUACGCUUAGAGACGCGAGGCUACAUCGGGUUUUACGCACCGAAAAACGUCACAACAACGUCCUCCAUUUACAGUUCACAAAUCGCCUUGAACCACUUUGUAGAUACAGUUCCUGAUUUAUACAUCGAAUGGUUUAUUUUUUUAAUUCACAUAAACCGAUUAUUAACGUGAGUAUUCCCAUUGGUUAUAUCUUGUCGGAACUCAGAGCCCGCCUCCGAGUGGACAUAUGGCAGGGUGCACCGCACUUUCAGACCUUUAGCCGAAUAUUAAAUAUUAACUAUUUACUAUUAAAUGAACUAUUUAACAAUUUAUUUAAACUAAACUUUAUGGUUAACACUAAAAUUGAUACAAAUUAAACAAUGAGAAGACUCUCCAAUGAGAAUGAGCGAACUUCUUUAUUGCAACCAAUCAGCCAACAAGUCCAUUGAGCUCAAGGAAAAAUUAAGUCAAAAGCGAUCAAAUGAAAAAACCCAAGCGAGCAUCCCUCUGCCACCCAAAACAUUCGAACAAAAAAAAAGCAAGCAAGCAAGCAAAAAGCCCCCUCCAAAGGAACUCUCCUCAAUAUAAGACCUCCCCUUAUUUCCCAGAAAAACAAGUAAGUUUGCCCUUUUAAUUUAUCAGAAAAACAAGUCUGCCCUGUUGUUUUUCCCGACUUACUUCCUCAUUGUUAUUAAAAUGUAUGCUUUGUUAAAAAUGUUAAAAAUGUGCAUCCACAGAUCAUCUUGUCUCUUCUUAUUCUUGAGUUAUUUGCCACUCGGUCUUCCAUAACACAGACGUCUUGUGAAUUAAUCCUCUUUUACAGCUACAAUGAACCCUGAAUCUCAGAAUCAGCAGGAUUCAGCCUGAUUCAGCUGUCUCGCCCUACUCCCUUCAUGAGUCCUGUUUCAGCUAAACUUUUGACUUGAACUUACUUCCUCACACAUUGUUGAUCAGAGAGCUCAGACUGACUAGGCUGGUUAUUUUUUACUAAGUUUAUGAUUACAAUAAACAUCUUUUCUUGUUUA